UUAUUUCGGACUACACUAAUAGUCUAAGUCCUUUGAUGGACUACGUUAUUUGGGUCAAGACACCUACGGAUACUCCUCUAGUCUACAGCACUGUC
rnacentral:sRNA from 14 species